rnacentral:rRNA from 1 species
GACGAACGCUGGCGGCGUGCUUAACACAUGCAAGUCGAACGAUGAGGCGGGUGCUUGGAGGCGUGGACUAGUGGCGAACGGGCGAGUAACACGUGAGUAACCUGUCCUUUUCUUUGGGAUAACUGCUGGAAACGGCUGCUAAUACUGGAUAUUCAGGCUGCCUCGCAGGGGGGGGUUGGGAAAGGUUGUUUGUGGGGGGGGGUGGCCCCGCUGCUUAUCAGGUUGUUGGUGGGGUGGUGGCUUACCAAGUCUUUGGCGGGUAGGCGGGCUGGGAGGGUGGGGGCCGAGAUACGGCCCAGACUACGGCCGGGGGUAGUAGGGGAGACUACUGCGCAAUGGACUACAGAUUGAGGCAGCGACGGCGGGUGGAGGGUGGAGUCCGUCGUGUUGUGAACUGCUUUGUCUCGCGAAAAAGCCAGAGUUGUGGCGGGGUUGAUGGUAGUGGGUGAAGAAGCGCCGGCUAACUACGUG